UCGACGACGGCAUACCAUGUUCUUGUGUGCAUUUUGUGUCGCAAUUCAUUACGAUCGACGCAGUCGCAAUUCCAAUGUCCAGUGCAUCGUUGCAUAUCAGUCAGUACACAUAUCCGAUAAUUUGCCGCAAUGAUGGAUUCAGAUUUCGAUGAAUCUUUGAAUAUUGAAACUUUUUCGAAGAAAUUAAAAACUAUCUAGAGAUUUGAAAUCUCAUUGUAGAACAUUAUGAUAAGAAAAAAAAGUGCGUGGAUAAAUGUUUGACGUGUUUUCUGCGAAAAUUUUGACGAAAAGAACGAGAUUCGUAAGAAUGAAAUAUAAAACUCAUCUCUAAAUAUUGGUCGUAUGCAUUAUAUAUCUCAAGUUUCAAGAAAUAUUCAAAUUUUAUGAGCGAAAUUAAAGUCGAGAAACCACCAUUACGACGGGUGAGAUUUCAUCGAUCCCAGAAAAAUUCUGAUGCAAUGGAAGGUUUUUGUACAUCCUGCAUUUUUCUCUGGCAAGAAAAGGUGCAGCCAACAGGUGAAAUGUGGUAGAAAAAAAUGCACCUGAGCGAUCAAUGAAAGUUGAAAAAAUAUGCAGGUCUCAGACAAGUUACCGCAGUCUGACACCUGUCGUUUUUGCGAAUGACAGCGUCGACAAACAUCUGCGUUUAUAUAAAAAGCUAUCUUCUCAAAUGCUUACAAAGUUGACUUAUUCUUAAUUUUGUAUAAAAAAGGAAAAAAAAAAA